rnacentral:rRNA from 1 species
GGGAUAACUACUGGAAACGGUAGCUAAUACCGCAUAACGUCGCAAGACCAAAGAGGGGGACCUUCGGGCCUCUUGCCAUCGGAUGUGCCCAGAUGGGAUUAGCUAGUAGGUGGGGUAACGGCUCACCUAGGCGACGAUCCCUAGCUGGUCUGAGAGGAUGACCAGCCACACUGGAACUGAGACACGGCCAGACUCCUACGGGAGGCAGCAUG